rnacentral:rRNA from 1 species
UACGUAGGGUCCGAGCGUUGUCCGGAAUUACUGGGCGUAAAGAGCUCGUAGGUGGUUUGUCGCGUUGUUCGUGAAAACUCACAGCUCAACUGUGGGCGUGCGGGCGAUACGGGCAGACUUGAGUACUGCAGGGGAGACUGGAAUUCCUGGUGUAGCGGUGAAAUGCGCAGAUAUCAGGAGGAACACCAGUGGCGAAGGCGGUGCGCUGGGCCGGAACUGACGCUGAGGAGCGAAAGCGUGGGUAGCAAACAGG